AACGAACGCUGGCGGCGUGCCUAACACAUGCAAGUCGAACGCGAAAGGGGGCAACCCCCGGUAGCGAGGCAGACGGGUGAGUAACACGUGGGUAACCUACCCCGAGGUGGGGGAUAACCCUCCGAAAGGAGGGCUAAUACCGCAUGAAACCUGAGGUCCUUGGACUUUCAGUUCAAAGCUAGCCUCUGCUUGCAAGCUAGCGCCACGGGAGGGGCCCGCGCCCCAUUAGCUAGUUGGUGAGGUAACGGCUCACCAAGGCCACGAUGGGUAGCCGGCCUGAGAGGGCGAUCGGCCACACUGGAACUGAGACACGGUCCAGACUCCUACGGGAGGCAGCAGUGAGGAAUAUUGCGCAAUGGGCGAAAGCCUGACGCAGCGACGCCGCGUGGAGGACGAAGGUCUUCGGAUCGUAAACUCCUGUCGAGCGGGACGAAGCCGGGGCGGUGAAUAGCCGCUUCGGUCGACGGUACCGCUAAAGGAUGCCCCGGCUAACUCCGUGC
rnacentral:rRNA from 1 species